rnacentral:rRNA from 1 species
UACAGAGGUCUCAAGCGUUGUUCGGAUUCAUUGGGCGUAAAGAGCGUGUAGGCGGCCCGGUAAGUCCGCUGUGAAAGUCGGGGGCUCAACCCUCGAAUGCCGGUGGAUACUGUCGGGCUAGAGUGCGGAAGAGGCGAGUGGAAUUCCGUGGUGUAGCGGUGAAAUGCGCAGAUAUCAGGAGGAACACCAAUGCGAAGGCAGCUCGCUGGGACGUGACUGACGCUGAGACGCGAAAGCGUGGGGAGCAAACAGG